CCUACGGGCGGCAGCAGUGAGGAAUAUUGGUCAAUGGACGAGAGUCUGAACCAGCCAAGUAGCGUGAAGGAUGACUGCCCUAUGGGUUGUAAACUUCGUUUAUAGGGGAAUAAAAUGUGCCACGUGUGGGAUUUUGUAUGUACCAUAUGAAUAAGGAUCGGCUAACGCCGUGCCAGCAGACGCGGUAAUACGGAGGAUCCGAGCGUUAUCCGGAUUUAUUGGGUUUAAAGGGAGCGUAGGUGGAUUGUUAAGUCAGUUGUGAAAGUUUGCGGCUCAACCGUAAAAUUGCCGUUGAAACUGGCAGUCUUGAGUCCAGUAGCGGUGGGCGGCCUUCGUGGUGUAGCGG
rnacentral:rRNA from 1 species